GUGAAACAGCACCUGAAACCGGAUGCUUACAAACAGUAGGAGCCCAAGGUUCGUCCUGGGUGACUGCGUACCUUUUGUAUAAUGGGUCAGCGACUUAAAGUUUCGAGCAAGCUUAAGCCGGUAGGUGGAGGCGCAGCGAAAGCGAGUUUGAACAGGGCGUUCAGUUCGUGGCUUUAGACCCGAAACCGAGUGAUCUAGCCAUGAGCAGGUUGAAGGUUGGGUAACACCAACUGGAGGACCGAACCCACUAACGUUGAAAAGUUAGGGGAUGAGCUGUGGAUAGGGGUGAAAGGCUAAACAAAUCUGGAAAUAGCUGGUUCUCCCCGAAAACUAUUUAGGUAGUGCCUCGAGUCUCACUACAGGGGGUAGAGCACUGUUAUGGCUAGGGGGUCAUCGCGACUUACCAAACCAUGGCAAACUCCGAAUACCUGUAAGUGCAAUCUCGGGAGACAGACAUCGGGUGCUAACGUCCGGUGUCAAGAGGGAAACAACCCAGACCGCCAGCUAAGGUCCCUAAUAUCUGCUAAGUGGAAAACGAAGUGGGAAGGCUAAAACAGUCAGGAGGUUGGCUUAGAAGCAGCCAUCAUUUAAAGAAAGCGUAAUAGCUCACUGAUCGAGUCGUCCUGCGCGGAAGAUGUAACGGGGCUAAGCAGAUAACCGAAGCUGCGGAUGUACACGUAAGUGUAUGUGGUAGGGGAGCGUUCUGUAAGCCUGCGAAGGUGUGUUGUAAAGCAUGCUGGAGGUAUCAGAAGUGCGAAUGCUGACAUGAGUAGCGA
rnacentral:rRNA from 14 species